rnacentral:rRNA from 1 species
CCAGACUCCUACGGGAGGCAGCAGUGGGGAAUAUUGCACAAUGGGGGAAACCCUGAUGCAGCGACGCCGCGUGAGGGAAGACGGUUUUCGGAUUGUAAACCUCUGUCUUUAGGGACGAAAAAAUGACGGUAGCUAAGGAGGAAGCCACGGCUAACUACGUGCCAGCAGCCGCGGUAAUACGUAGGUGGCAAGCGUUGUCCGGAAUUACUGGGUGUAAAGGGAGCGCAGGCGGGUGAUCAAGUCAGCUGUGAAAACUACGGGCUUAACCCGUAGACUGCAGUUGAAACUGUUCAUCUUGAGUGAAGUAGAGGUUGGCGGAAUUCCGAGUGUAGCGGUGAAAUGCGUAGAUAUUCGGAGGAACACCGGUGGCGAAGGCGGCCAACUGGGCUUUAACUGACGCUGAGGCUCGAAAGUGUGGGGAGCAAACAGGAUUAGAUACCCUGGUAGUCCACACUGUAAACGAUGAUUGCUAGGUGUGGGGGGUCUGACCCCUUCCGUGCCGGAGCUAACGCAAUAAGCAAUCCACCUGGGGAGUACGACCGCAAGGUUGAAACUCAAAGGAAUUGACGGGGACCCGCACAAGCAGUGGAUUAUGUGGUUUAAUUCGAAGCAACGCGAAGAACCUUACCAGCACUUGACAUCCAACUAACGAAAUAGAGAUAUAUUAGGUGCCCUUCGGGGAAAGUUGAGACAGGUGGUGCAUGGUUGUCGUCAGCUCGUGUCGUGAGAUGUUGGGUUAAGUCCCGCAACGAGCGCAACCCUCGCCAUUAGUUGCUACGCAAGAGCACUCUAAUGGGACCGCUACCGACAAGGUGGAGGAAGGUGGGGACGACGUCAAAUCAUCAUGCCCCUUAUGUGCUGGGCUACACACGUAAUACAAUGGCCAUCAACAGAGAGAAGCAAUACCGCGAGGUGGAGCAAAACUUCAAAAAUGGUCUCAGUUCGGACUGCAGGCUGCAACCCGCCUGCACGAAGUUGGAAUUGCUAGUAAUCGUGGAUCAGCAUGCCACGGUGAAUACGUUCCCGGGUCUUGUACACACCGCCCGUCACACCAUGGGAGCCGGUAACACCCGAAGUCAGUAGUCUAACCGCAAGGAGGACGCUGCCGAAGGUGGGAUUGGCGACUGGGGUGAAGUCGUAACAAGGUAGCCGUAUCGGAAGGUGCGGCUG